UACGUAGGGGGCUAGCGUUGUCCGGAAUCAUUGGGCGUAAAGAGCGUGUAGGCGGCCCGGUAAGUCCGCUGUGAAAGUCGGGGGCUCAACCCUCGAAUGCCGGUGGAAACUGUCGGGCUCGAGUGCGGAAGAGGCGAGUGGAAUUCCUGGUGUAGCGGUGAAAUGCGCAGAUAUCAGGAAGAACACCAAUGGCGAAGGCGGUUACCUGGAGCUUUGCUGACGCUGAUGCGCGAAAGCGUGGGGAGCGAUCCGG
rnacentral:rRNA from 1 species